UAUUCCCCACUGCUGCCUCCCGUAGGAGUUUGCACCGUUCUCAGUUGCAAUGUGGGGGACCUUCCUCUCAGAACCCCUAAAGAUCGUCGCCAUGGUAAGCCGUUACCUCACCAUCUAGCUAAUCCUACGCAUGCCCAUCUUAUACCAAUCGAAAUCUUUCUUUAUCAAGAGAUGCCUCCCGAUAACAUUACGCAGUAUUACGCACCGUUUCCAGUGUCUAUCCUCCUGUAUAAGCCAGGUUGCAUACGCGUUACUCACCCAUCCGCCGGUCGCCAUCAAUCAAAGCAAGCUUUAAUUAUGCUGCCCCUCGACUUACAUGUGUUAUGCCUACCGCCAGCGUUCAUCCUGAGCCAA
rnacentral:rRNA from 1 species